rnacentral:rRNA from 1 species
CCUACGGGGGGCAGCAGUGGGGAAUAUUGCACAAUGGGCGCAAGCCUGAUGCAGCCAUGCCGCGUGUAUGAAGAAGGCCUUCGGGUUGUAAAGUACUUUCAGCGGGGAGGAAGGUGUUGUGGUUAAUAACCACAGCAAUUGACGUUACCCGCAGAAGAAGCACCGGCUAACUCCGUGCCAGCAGCCGCGGUAAUACGGAGGGUGCACGCGUUAAUCGGAAUUACUGGGCGUAAAGCGCACGCAGGCGGUCGGUCAAGUCGGAUGUGGAAUCCCCGGGCUCAACCUGGGAACUGCAUUCGAAACUGGCAGGCUAGAGUCUUGUAGAGGGGGGUAGAAUUCCAGGUGUAGCGGUGAAAUGCGUAGAGAUCUGGAGGAAUACCGGUGGCGAAGGCGGCCCCCUGGACAAAGACUGACGCUCAGGUGCGAAAGCGUGGGGAGCAAACAGGAUUAGAUACCCGAGUAGUCA